rnacentral:rRNA from 1 species
AGAAUCAACGCUGGCGGCGUGCCUAACACAUGCAAGUCGAACGAGAAAGUGGAGCAAUCCAUGAGUAAAGUGGCGCACGGGUGAGUAACACGUGACUAACCUACCCUUGAGUGGGGGAUAACCUAGGGAAACCUGGGCUAAUACCGCAUAAUACCUUCGGGUCAAAGGAGCAAUUCGCUUAAGGAGGGGUCGCGGCCGAUUAGUUAGUUGGCGGGGUAAUGGCCCACCAAGACUGUGAUCGGUAUCCGGCCUGAGAGGGCGCACGGACACACUGGAACUGAAACACGGUCCAGACUCCUACGGGAGGCAGCAGUGGGGAAUUUGCGCAAUGGGGGAAACCCUGACGCAGCAACGCCGCGUGGAGGAUGAAGUCCCUUGGGACGUAAACUCCUUUCGAUCGGGACGAUUAUGACGGUACCGGAAGAAGAAGCCCGGCUAACUUCGCGCCAGCAGCCGC